rfam:Gossypium raimondii Chr13_contig_81, whole genome shotgun sequence.
AUUUGAAGAAUGAUAAAUUAUAUUUCUCCUUCUGAUUUUUAGCUUUUUCCUCUUAAAAAAAUUCAAAUCCAACUAAAAAUGCUAAAAGUGAGGAGGAAAAAUCUGAUUUUUCAUUCUCCUAUU